UUUGUGUUACAACUCAGGAUGACAUCGAUAAUAGAGGAUUCCAUAAAACACUUAAAGCUCUAUGCAAGAAUAAAGGACACUAUUGGUCAAAAAACUCGAGCGAGAUCCCAGAUCUCAACGAGUGUUUGGCCACACACAUGCAGGAAAGCAUUAAUGAGGAAUUUAAUCAAAUUUUUCCUGUUAAUGGCAAAACGGAGAAAUCAUUGCAAAAACACCUUGAUAAUGUCAGUAUCAUCCAAAGUGACAAUACAUACUGCAGAUCGUCUAUGCUAUACCACAUUCAGAACUUCAUCAAAACACGGGAAAACAAACUGAAGGUGUUACUCGGCAGAAAAGUUAUUAACAGGAAGAAGGAAAUCUAGUCAUCAAUCUCAACAACGAUUCAGAAAAAAAUGGGUAUUGGCUAUAAAAAAGCUGCAAAAAUAAAAGGAAAUAAUACCUUAAAGAAAAUGCAGAACAUUCUAAGUGGUACCAUUGAGUCAUUAAAAGAUGACAUGUUCAACGACGCCAAAACGGAGUUCCUUGAGAAAUUCAAUAAGUUGAAGCUCGAAAUAAAGAAUGACUUACAAUCUCAUAUCAAAACAUCAA